rnacentral:lncRNA from 1 species
GAAAAACUUAAAAGUUAACAACUAACAAUAACAGAUAAUUUAAAUAAGCAUUUGAGAUGCCGCUCGGCAUAUACAAUAAUCACUCUCGAAUUGUACACAAUUCUCCCAAGACCCGAAAACCGUAAGUCACAAGCUUCUAAGAUCUCUGUCAAUUGUUCUAUACAUCUGUACUAGAAUAAAUUAAAGGGAAGCAACAUCAGAAGGGGUAGAAGGAGACUCCGAGGUAUGUGGACGCGACAGAUGUACUUUGAAGUCUCCGGAAUGGCAGCAACUGUGCAGCUAAAAAUGAGGCUGGUAGGAGGUACCUGGAUCUGCACACGAAAAACAUGUGCAGAAAAUGACAUGAGUACACCACAACGGUAUCGAGUAAGUGUCAAGCCUAACAUCGGUCGAAUAGUAACGAUGUCUGGUCAGGGCCCUACUGGUAUAUACAUAUAUAUAUACAUAUAUAUAUAUAUAUAUAUAUAUAUAUAUAUAAAAUAAAAACAAGACAUAAUGAAAUAUCGCAGUAAAAUAAAGACCAAAAUUUAACAAGAAUGAAAUCAUAGAGAGGUAACGGCUCAGUACACAGAUAUAACAAUAGGGGAUCUCCCGAGAUACUGUCUCGUAGUCCCAAACGUAAAUGUACAUGGGGAUCUCCCGGAAUACCGUUCCGCAAAGUAAAUAUGUAAGGGGGUCUCCCGGAAUACCGUUCCGUAGUCCCAAAGUAUAUAUGCAGCUCAAACAACGGAAAAUAACAGUUACAGCAAGAAAGCCUACAGUUUAAACUAAGUUCAAGCCAAGGAAAGCAGGAAAUUCACUAAACAUGCUGCACAGGGUUCAGAUAAACAAUUAAGACAAGUAGACAUGUUAUUCUAAGCUAACAGGAUACUACAAAUGCUGGUAUAACUCAAAUAAAAAGGAAAAUAGGUUAUUACUUAGUAGAAAUUGGUUUUUAAAAAAUAAGAGAGAGGAGAAAAGAGGAAAAAAGAAAAAAGACGAAAAAUAAAAAAGAGAAAGAUGAUGGGUUAAAAAAGAGACGACUUGUUUUUUUUCUCUCCAAAAUACGCCUAAAAAAGAUACAAAUAAAUACGGAAGAAAUAGUAGAUAAGAAAAUAAGAAAGAAUGACGAAUGAAUGGGAAAAAGAAACGAUAGUGAUAUUAACAAAUUUAAGUUACAAUGGUUUAUUAUUCUGUCUUUCUAGAUUUAUUAUCAAACUCUCUAAGCGACUCAAGUGUUGCCAGAUCAAUCUUUUUCACUAUUUGGAUUUAGAUAUUUGUCACCUUCAGAAUGGUUUGCUCAUUUUUAUUUGCUUUUGUCAUCUUCAAUAUCUAUCAUUAAUCUACUUGUGGACAAAACUAAUGAUUCCUUUUUGAAUGAUCUUUUCCAGAUUCCCUCUCAUUCAGAAACGAAUACUCUUUGAAUUUAGAUUUCUAUUAAUGCAGUUUAAGUUUCUUGACAAUUUAAUUAUUGAGUGCAAUCAUUGUACAAAUAAAAUAUCUUCUAUAGUGAUGAGAAGCAAGGUUGAAAACGUUACCUCUACAUAGUCAAGGAUUUUAGGAUUUGUAUGUAUCUUUCAAAGUUCAACCAACACUUCCUCGCAAAAUUACAAAUUUGCUUCUUAUAUUGUGAGCUUAUGUUCUAAAGUUGAGUCAUGUUUCGCUUACUUGCAAAAGCAUAAUUUUCCCGUCUCCUCUUGAUUACAGAGCACACUUUGCUUAAACACUAGAUAGAUAUAGCCCGUGCUUGCACGAGCCCAACAUUCAUAUUUUUAAGCAAUUAGCUUUUUGGUGUUUUGUAUAUGAUAAAAUCUUGACGGUAUUAUAAUUGCUGAAAAAGUACAAUUGAAUCAAGACACAAAAUCUUUGUAUUACAAAUAAUUUAUCUUAUAAUCAACAGAGAAUAUCGACCAAGGUAAUGGGUCUAGAAUUAGAAAAAGAGAAAAAAAAAUAAAGGUAUUGUGUGCGGCAGCGUAGUCAUUAAUGAAGUCUUGACAAACUAAUGAUGUGGCAUGCAUAGCUAAACCCAUAAUUCAUCAGUGUCUGCUAACAUUUGUUAUUGAUGCUAUAUAAAAAUGGAAAGAGGUUGUUUCAGUAUCUUGUUAAAAAUGGAAAGGUAUUUGUUAGUGAGUGAGAGACAAAUAUAGAAGGCUUUUAGGUUGAAAUGCAUCAAACUACAAAUUCAGCCAAAGAAGACACAGAAAAAUAGUGCUACACGAAACAACUAAUAGAGGAACUUAUUGAUUCUAUGUCAUAUAAGUAGAGGAGUUUGAAUCUCAAUAUGUGUUAGUGUUAUCAUAGUAUGACUUUAGCCCAAAAGGCAUACAGUAUUGGAUGUUAAACUCUUCCAUCACUAUAAGCAGGUCUAUAGGACAGAAAAGUCUUGUCUAAGGCAGAACAUCCUUGAAAAGUAUAUUACCUUGGCAAUAACAGCUUUUUCCUUCAAACGACCAAGCAGAAUCCCAAUAUUCUAGUUUUCCUUUUAACUGCAAUAUGCUAGCAAUAUAUAUCAUUUAACACAAUACAAUACAUAUGAAUAAUAAUAGCAGAAUAAAAUAGUCUGCACAAUUGAAAAGCUAACCAAAGUCUGUUAUGUAAUUCUAGAUCCUCCAAUGUGACUAACUAUAUAUAGAGAAAAUAUUUAUCCAUGGACAAAAGCAUAAAGAAAACAUAUUAAGAUUUAUAAAUGACAUGCUUCAGUAUUAGAACCAAAGUUUUUCAUUAUGUAUAAAUACACAAAUUCAAAGAUUCAUUUUUCUGGCACUUAACUUUACAAGCUUUCAAGAAAAGAAACAAAAUAAUUGCAACAUCAAUCUGGCAUCUCUGGGAAGUCAAAUGCUUGAUCUAGAGACUUUAUUUUUUUUUAAUUUCUAUAUUUUUUGUGGGUAAGUUGUUUAUCUUGCACUAAAUAACAACAAAUAGAAUUAAAGUAUUGCAAAAAUAAGAAAGAAUUUAUAACAGAUAACCAGGCAAUGCCUGCCAAGUACCAGUUCCAACUCAUAUUAAGGACAACUUUCAAAAGAUACUUCAUUGCUGAAGCCUAAUUAACAUUGCCUUAAAAAGAAGCCAAGACCCGAUAACUAAUGUCAGGGUAAAAAUUAUUUUCAUCCAGGUUAGUCAUACAUAAAAAGCUAUCUAUUUGUAUCAGCCUUGUUCAUCGUCCAGAAGGAAAGCUCCAUGAGGGCCUACCUUUACUGAUGCAGUUAUUAGUUCGGGGUCAUGCAUCGAAAGCUACAUAGUCUAAAGAAAACAAAUCAUAAUUUGAGGGAUACUAAUUGGCCGUAUAAACAUCAAGAAAAGCGCCAAUUAGCAUUAGAACCAUUAAUUAACAAAAUCUCCAGCACAAUUAUUGAAAUCUCCAUUUCAAACUUUUAGCCUUUAGUAAUGCCAUGUUGCAUAUGAACAUUUCAAAUUUAACACCUUAUGGUAAAGUUUCUUACUGAGAUUUUUUCUGGUUGAUUUUUUAAGUGCAGUUUCUCAAGUUAAUAAUAUACGCAAAUCAUUGUAUGUCAAGAAAGAGUAGACAAUCUUGUUAAUAUGUGAUUAAAGGGAACAAAUACCCAUAACCUAUACAAAAGUCAAAUAUAGUCUUUUAAACGAAACCCAAAAAAGGAGCACCCAGUACAAAUACAUACCUAAAAUGCCAAAUUCAGCUCUCAAGUAAACAACACAGCUCUUGUAUUUAAGACAUAUUAUCAAACACCUUGGUUGCAUGAGAAAUCUUGUUUGUUUCUUCAACAUUUUUGUCCUAGAUGGAAAUUAAUUAUGCCCAAAUCGUGUUUAAACCUAUGCAGAAAAUUUUCCAACAAAGAAGUGCAAUUCAGACGUACAAAAUGGAAGAAAUUAUCGCAGAGAGUAGUGAAUAAGAGAUACCCACCAAAUACCCAUUACCAAUACAUGGUUGCAAUAAACAAAGAAAGACUGAAGAAAAAUUCUGCAAAACUCCAAACGAAAUAUAGCAAACACUGAAGGAAAUUAGAGAAAUUUGAAAGGAAAAUCAAAAAAUUAGGCUAGAAAAUGUAACAAAAGAAACAGAGUAUACGGAAUGCAAAUCUGGGAUGUGAAAGUGGAAUGCACAUAUAUUCGAAAGGCAACUAAUUAAUUAGGAUCAAAUUCAGAAGUAGACCCAAAUUCCAUCAGUAUGGCCUUGAAACUUAGGAAAGAAGAGAUAGAAAAACAGAAGGAAAGAGCUAAGAGAAACAUACACGAAAAUCUCAGUAAUAUUUACUUUUGGGCUUGGUUGCUGUCGCCGGCGAGUAGGAGUACGUGUUUUAUGGCAGAUGAAGCUAAAAGGACUAUGAAAGAGAUUGAAAAGAUGAGAAAAUCGAAAAGGCAAAUAAUAAAUUGUAUUUUAAGUAGAGGAUGUGCUGAGAAAUAAUCAUACUUAAUUCAUCUUAUAAUUGUCCUCCACCUCAUCCUUUCAAAUUAUGUGAUAAACUUUUAAGGUGAAGGACACCCUCAUUAGCAAAUCUCCCAACACAUUGCUGUGCAUUUUGUUUAUCUUUCAGAUAUGUUUAAAUAAGUUUAAAACAAAUUCAUUCUGCGAGAUUGUACUACUAAAUUUAAUAAAAGAUUGAGGUUAACAUCAUAUUCAUAUUGUAUACAUCUUUCGUUUUGGUUCAAGACAACCACAAAAGCACAAAUAUUUAUGUUCUAGUGUGUGGAUUGAAUUUUCUUCAUUUCUGAAACAUCUAUGUUUCUUUCAUUCCAAACACCUAAAAAAUGCAGGCUAAAAUUGUAUUCUCACGUCCCUGAAAUAUUCUUUACUUUUCUUGCCCAUCCAACUUAUGAUAACUUCCUCUAGAAUACCGGGCAUCAGCCUUUUGAGUUAAAUAAUCCUAGAAACAUGCACUAUAGUUGAGAAGCAAAGGUAAAUACACCAUUUGCUCGAUAAAAUCUAAUUCACUGAACGAUGGCUUCAGCUUCCUCUAGGCACAUGCAGCAACUUAAGCAUACAUUUAACCAACAUGUUUGCUUGAGUUGGUCAAUGCAGUGCACUCCAAUAAAUUAAUGUUGAAGAUGUUUUCUCUUUCAAAUCAGCCUUCAAUUUCAAGUUUCAAGUGUGCUACUACUUUCUGAUAAAUACAAAAAAAAAAAAACCAUUACAAUACAUAUAAAUCAAGAUUUAAGAUGUAGCCUACGCUCUUGUUUAGUAUCCGAAGUUAUUUUUUUUAAAAAUAUUGAUAAGAAACAAAGUGAAUUAGAUUAUCAGUAUAAUAACUUUUAGCUAGUUCAAGUGAUAUAUGCAGAUACCUAAAACUCAAAUGAAUUUAGUAAUUCAACAACUCCAUAAAACAAAAGAUGCUCUACAGUAAAUAACAGAAAGUUGAGAGGAGAUAAUGUGAAAACAAUAAUGUAUGAGCUUAAACUGGUUGUAGUUCAUCUUUCUCUUCAAAGGCCCUUCUCAUCUUUAUACUCUAAUGCUUAGCUCAAGAAGAAGAUAAAAGAAGGAAUCUAUGUCCGCUCAUAUGCUAAACAUAGAGCGACUUAAUAAUACUAUACUUUGAUCAGACUAACCUAAAGCAGUGAAUAUCUCCAUUGCUAAUAUUAAGGACCAGGAGACCAACAAAAAGUAGUCUACUACUAAUACAACAAAUCAAGAAUAAAAGACAAUAGUAUAGAUAAACACUUUCAUCAUCCUCACAAUUGCCAAGUGUAAUCUCUAAAUAAUAGAUGGAUCCACUAAUCCGUGUUUAUCAAGCUAAAUUCACACAAAAUACUACAAAGGCUCAUUAAUCUCAAAGUUUUCUAAUAAAAUUACCAAACGUUUCGAAUUUUAGACAUUUCUGCUAGCCAUCAUUGAAAAGGUUUACGCUAGAACUUUAAACUAAUGGCCAAUUAUCAAACCAUAUAAAAAAAAUAGAGAAUAAAUGUGGUGAACAUAUUAAAACCAACGUGAAUUUCUCUUUAUCUCCUUUUUUUAGCAAUAUGUUUCUGGCUCCAUUGCAAAGUUAAUAGGAAGUUUCUCAAUGUAUUUUGUAUUGCAUGUAGGCCUUGUACUUUGAAGCAUGAAUUAUAGCUCAACUUCUCUAAUUAAUAAUAUGUUUGAAUGUGGUAUAGCAUCUCUAAGUACCAAAUCAGUUGAACAUCUCUACGUACCAAAUGAGUUGUUGCUGAAAAAAUGACCGGCCUUUUCAAUUUUGAUGAUACUAAAUGAGUUGUCACUGGAAAAAUAAUCAUCUUUUUAAAACUUAAACAAAGCACCCAUAACAAUUUCUUAAGGACUCCUGUUUGCAUGGUGGUGCGAUUUUAUCUUAAAUAGCAGUAUACUGAUGUACGUAUGCAUUUAUCUUUAUUACAAUGAGCUUUCAUAUAUAUCAUUAUCAGUAAUAUAAGCUCUUAACCAUGGCAGCAUCACUAAACUUUGAACAAUAGAAGAAUAUUUCAAGGUGCAUACCUGUCCAUCAGAAGACAACAGUCUAUCCUUGCAUGUUUGGUAGUUGCCUAGCAAAUAAUUCUUCGCUCAUGUUAAUCAGAAGACAACAGUCUAUCUUCACAUGUUUGGCAGUUUCCUUGCAAAUAAUUUGUCGCUCAAAUUUUCCUGGAUUUAGUAUUUAGUACUUGUCGCUCGGUAAAACAACUAAGACUACACAAAUAUUAUAUGUCUAUCAGAAAAAACUAUAUAUCAAUACCAAACCAUAUGCUUAUAAAUACAAUCAUUUUAAACACAGACAAAUUUGAGUCCCCUUGAUUCGUCUUGUAAAUUAUUGAACUUUAAAUUGAUACUAAAGGAAAAGACACAAAGUUGAUGAAAAGAAAUUGCUGAAAAUCUCACCAUUAGCUAUAAAACCGGAUAAUGAAAUAAAUUCCUCAUUGAAGGUUUCAGAACCUUUAUUUCCUACUCAUACUGGCAAAGUGAAUACACAGCUACACACAACUAAAGAGAUAAGUCCACCCUUAUCCCCAAAAGUAAGUAAGUAAGAAAAAAAAAAGAAUCAGUUGAGCAGCUCUGGAUGGGUCCAUUAAUCUAAAUGAGUUUAAAAAAUAUCUACCUUAAUAAUGCUAGUUGAACUCAGUAAGGCUGAUGAUAAUCACAGGAAUAUGAAACUCUUCUGCUUUAAUCAUUUUCUAUAAUGAUUUUUUAUUUUGGUCAUAUAAUCAAACAUGUGAUGGACUCUGUCUAAUUGGCCGAUUUUUGAAUUAGUAUGGUUUCUCCCCUAACUUCAUCUCUAUUUUCAGACUUAUACAGCAAAGGGGUUGGUCUAAACAUAGUGUACACAAGCUGAUUAGCCAAAUCUCCAGAAAAUUUGACACCACCACAAAAAUCAAAUGAGAAAACUUAGUAGAGUAUACUAUUUAUCAUAGCUUCAAUAAAUUCACAUAGUACUACCACUUCAAGAGUAGCUUCUAGGCAUUUUAAGGUGAACUUAUAGCACCAUGUUUAUCUACUUGUCAUUGUAGUUAUUCAAAUCUGCAACAGUCCGUCAAAGAAAAAAUACCGAAUCAAAUACUUAUUCACCAAUCAGAGGAAAAGGGUAAUUAUGAACAACGUUCAAUGAUGGAGAGAAAUUACAAAAGAGAUGCUAAAACUCCAGAAGGGUAAUUACACAGAAGUUUUUUCCAAUUUCACGCGGCACUACCCCUCCCUCAAAAGCGAAGUUGUUCGGUUUGAAGGGGUAACCCACUGCUCAUUCAUGAAAAGACCCAAUUGCUUUGAAUAUUGACCUACCUCUUAGUUUUUUUUCCUCGUAAAUUUUUCACGCCAUUCGUCUUAUGAAACAGAGAGUUAGCUAAAUACUUAUACAGAUAAAGAGGGGGGAAAAUACAGAUAGAAAGGAAAAAGAAAGAAGGAAAAAAAGAACUGGAGAGCCACUGCGUGAGUGCGUGAGCAGAUGCAAACAACUUCUUUUAGGAU